rnacentral:rRNA from 1 species
CCAAUAGCGUAUAUUAAAGUUGUUGCAGUUAAAAAGCUCGUAGUUGAAUUUCGGGAUCAAUACGUCGGUCGUGCUUCGGUACGUACUGGCGUAAUUGAUUUCUCCCUUCUGACGAACCAUGAUGUCAUUAACUUGGUGUCAUGGGAAAUCAGGACUGUUACUUUGAAAAAAUUAGAGUGUUUAAAGCAGGCUCACGCUUGAAUACAUUAGCAUGGAAUAAUGAAAUAGGACGUUCGAUCCUAUUUUGUUGGUUUUUAGGAUCAACGUAAUGAUUAAUAGGGAUUGUUUGGGGCAUUAGUAUUCAAUUGUCAGAGGUGAAAUUCUUGGAUUUAUUGAAGACUAACUACUGCGAAAGCAUUUGCCAAGGAUGUUUUCAUUAAUCAAGAACGAAAGUUAGGGGAUCGAAGACGAUCAGAUACCGUCGUAGUCUUAACCAUAAACUAUGCCGACUAGGGAUCGGAUGAUGUUAAUUUUUUAAUGACUCAUUCGGCGCCUUACG